AGUAGCUCAGUCGAUAGAGCAUGAGACUCUUAAUCUCAGGGUCGUGGGUUUGAGCCCCACUU
rnacentral:tRNA from 1 species